AGAUGUGAGGCUGUCCUCCUAGCAAUAGGCAUGUCAUAAGGUGCUGCAUGGCUGUCGUCAGCUCGUGCCGUGAGGUGUUGGGUUAAGUCCCGCAACGAGCGCAACCCUCGCCUCCUGUUGCCAUCAGGUCAAGCUGGGCACUCUGGAGGUACUGCCGGCGAUAAGCCGGAGGAAGGUGGGGAUGACGUCAAGUCCUCAUGGCCUUUAUGCCCCGGGCUACACACGUGCUACAAUGGCUGGUACAAAGGGUUGCAAAACCGCGAGGUGGAGCUAAUCCCAAAAAACCAGUCCCAGUUCGGAUUGCAGUCUGCAACUCGACUGCAUGAAGUUGGAAUCGCUAGUAAUCGCGGAUCAGCACGCCGCGGUGAAUACGUUCCCGGGCCUUGUACACACCGCCCGUCACAUCACGAAAGCCGGCUGUACUAGAAGUCGCUGCUCUGACCCGUAAGGGAGGAAGGCGCCCACGGUAUGGUCGGUGAUUGGGGUGAAGUCGUAACAAGGUAGCCGU
rnacentral:rRNA from 1 species